rnacentral:lncRNA from 1 species
CUUGGCUAAUUGGAGUUUUUGGCUCUUUAUCCUGAUGAUUAAAAGAACAGCUGAGUGGAAGUCAGAAUGCAUUUACAGAGCUGGCACGCCCAGCUCUGCUGUUUGGUUUACUCUGAUUAAUUUAGCAAAUGAAACUCCUGUAAACUCACAUAACAUUUUGCCUAUACAAAACUACCGUUGCUAUAUAGUUCUAAGUGAGCGUUGGGUAAACUAUCCCAUAGAUAACUAAAUCAGUGUAACAAAAGCUUUUGAUGAAAAGUGGUUUUCUGUAAAGUAACAUUUUAUGUUAGGGCAUACAGAUUGUAUGAAAUAGAACAGCUCUUUUAAAGAAGCUGCCUUUAUUUUAGUGUAUGAGAAAAACAACUGUUACUGUUUACACUCUUCAAUCAAGAUCACUCAUGACAAAUAGCAAUGUAUCAGCAGUACGAGACAAUUUACCACUGCAUGAGCUAAAAGAGCAUUUAUGUCGGCCUGCACUCGCCUCUGUGCGUGGGUGGAAGUCUGAGCAAUUUUACUCUUCCAGACAAAGAGAAGAGAAGACCAACUGCUUCAGCCAGGGAGGGAAUUCAACUGGUGAGCACAGACUGUGGGUAACCACUCCAGCAUUCCCACGCAUUGCCAAGCACCCGCAAGCCUUGAAUUUACGAGCUCAGUCUGAGUUGCAAAUUGAACGAGACCUGCUUCUUUUGAAUUUCCUAGCUUCAUAG